UAGUGUUAUAGCUCUUUUAGAAUUUGUCUAGCAGACUGUCUGGUUUGUACCACGAACCUG
rnacentral:snRNA from 1 species